rnacentral:rRNA from 1 species
UGAGGAAUAUUGGACAAUGGGCGCAAGCCUGAUCCAGCCAUGCCGCGUGCAGGAUGAAGGCCUUCGGGUUGUAAACUGCUUUUGUACGGAACGAAAAGACUCCUUCUAAUAAAGGGGGUCCAUGACGGUACCGUAAGAAUAAGCACCGGCUAACUACGUGCCAGCGGCCGCGGUAAUACGUAGGGUGCGAGCGUUAAUCGGAAUUACUGGGCGUAAAGCGUGCGCAGACGGUCUUGUAAGACAGUCGUGAAAGCCCCGGGCUUAACCUGGGACCUGCAUUUGUGGAUGUAUAGCUAGAGUACGGUAGAGGGGGAUGGAAUUCCGCGUGUAGCAGUGAAAUGCGUAGAUAUGCGGAGGAACACCGAUGGCGGAGGCAAUCCCCUGGACCUGUAAUGACGCUCAUGCACGAAAGCGUGGGGAGCAAACA